rnacentral:rRNA from 1 species
GUGGGGAAUAUUCCGCAAUGGACGAAAGUCUGACGGAGCAACGCCGCGUGAGUGAUGAAGGUUUUCGGACUGUAAAGCUCUGUUGUUUGGGACGAAAGUGCCUGUUGCGAACAGUUACGGGUAUUGACGGUACUAAACGAGGAAGCCACGGCUAACUACGUGCCAGCAGCCGCGGUAAUACGUAGGUGGCAAGCGUUGUCCGGAAUUAUUGGGCGUAAAGAGCAUGUAGGCGGGAAUCUAAGUCUGUUGUUAAAAUGCGGGGCUCAACCCCGUAUUGCGAUGGAAACUGGGUUUCUUGAGUGCAGGAGAGGAAAGGGGAAUUCCCAGUGUAGCGGUGAAAUGCGUAGAUAUCAAGAGGAACACCAGUGGCGAAGGCGAGUCUCUGGACAAGACCUGACGCUGAGGCACGAAGGCCAGGGGAUCAAACGGGAUUAGAAACCCGAGUAGUCC